rnacentral:rRNA from 1 species
CCAGACUCCUACGGGAGGCAGCAGUGGGGAAUAUUGCACAAUGGGGGGAACCCUGAUGCAGCGACGCCGCGUGGGUGAAGGAGCACCUCGGUGCGUAAAGCCCUAUCGGCAGGGAAGAAACAGACGGUACCUGACUAAGAAGCCCCGGCUAACUACGUGCCAGCAGCCGCGGUAAUACGUAGGGGGCAAGCGUUAUCCGGAUUUACUGGGUGUAAAGGGGGCGCAGACGGCAGCGCAAGCCAGGAGUGAAAGCCCGGGGCCCAACCCCGGGACUGCUCUUGGAACUGCGCGGCUGGAGUGCAGGAGGGGCAGGCGGAAUUCCUGGUGUAGCGGUGAAAUGCGUAGAUAUUAGGAGGAACGCCAGUGGCGAAGGCGGCUUACUGGACGGCAACUGACGCUGAGGCUCGAAAGCGUGGGGAGCAAACAGGAUUAGAUACCCUCGUAC